GGGAUUGAACUCAGGUCUUCAUGCUUCCAAGGCAAGCACUUUACUGGCUGAGCUAUAUUACUGCCUCAGCCAAGGUACUUAGUCUAAACUUCCAUUUAAGGGAAGCUCAAAACAUCUUCUACAUUAGUUAUAACUAAUGGUGGUUAGGCAGCUCUGCCAGGUCCAAGACAUCCAUCUCUUAGUCCAAGGUUCAGAUUACAUGCUCAUAAUUGCACGCCAACCACUGGGAUCAUGGUCAAAGGCACAAAUACCUAGUCAUUUGCAGAGCCCAACCUGGAAACUACACACUUCAUUUCUGCUUACAUCCUUCCCACUGGCCAGAAUGUAGGAAACUUGAACAUGUUCUCACUGGCUAAUCACGUGUUAAGCAAAACUGAAACAUUUUAUUGUAAAAAAGAUAUUGGGAGUCAGCUGGCAACAUCGGUCACAUUGACCUACUGGAACUAUUGUGAACACUAGUGGGGGAAAUACUUAAGAGAAUCAGUUGUGAGUAUUCUCAGUUCCAAGAAGUUUCAUUGCUCUUUAUCCUAUGUCUUUUAUAGGCUAUUUCUACCCUUUAGAAAAUCUAGCCAGUUUUGUGUUAGGAUAUUAUCAUUAAGAGACUGCCUCUGGCCAUUGCAUGCACAGCUACAAAGUCACAUUGUAAUGAACUAUCUCUGUGCCAAUCUAAACUUGGUCCCACACCACAUAUUUUCCUUUAAGAGCAGUCUGUAACAAAAAUUUAUAUUGCUCCUACCAUGACCAGCUCCAGGGGUUCUGUAGUAUUGACCUAAUUAAUUAUGAGUCUAAUGAUCUUCAUCUCCCAAAGUCACCCAGACAAUUAGCGAUGAGGUCAGAAUUUAGACAAGGCUGAGGCCCUGGAGAUAAAAUCACAACUCUUACGUUGCUCUGCCUGCAACAAAGUAGACAGGCAGUCCUAAGGUGAGCUUCCUCUAUACUUAGAAUACUCCUAACACAUUGUGCCACCUUCUGCCCACCUAGGACCUAGCUUUGUAGGAGCCAUGUUUUCUACUCACGAUAGAGGAAGAUUAUAGGAUAAAGGCAUCGAAAUGAAGCAUGAAACGUGGUAGUGGAUGUAUUUGUGAGAGUCAGUGAGGUUGUGGAAUCCACACCACAUGUAAGAGGGGACAUGAGAGGAGCCAGACAAGACAGUCUUGCUAAGCAGAAGGAAUUGAGGUAAGAAUUCUCCAGCCAGCCUUCCUACAGCCAAGAGCAGGUGCUGACUUGGACUUCUACGGUGGUAGAAUGACUUUUCCCUGAGAAAACGUGUUCGUGAAAAGACUCCAUUUCUACCAGGUAAGAGGAUCUGCUGACCCACUUCUCUGAAGCUCCUAAUCCAGAACUGACAUAAACAAAUUCAAUUCUGAGACUUUGUGACAUGAAGCAAUCGUCUCCUAAUUGUGCCAAAUGUCAAAAGCAGUUGCCUCAUGAAAACAAAGGUCAAUUAUGGUGGUUAAAAAAAAAAAAAAGAAGAAGACAUAACGUCUGCAGACUCAAAUGGGUCAGAGCUAAUGUGUAUGUGUAUGACUGGACACAUACAAAGAUAGCAGGUAAACAUCCAAAAAUCUAGAUCAAAGGUGAACAGAAGUUUACUUGCUUGUCCUGCUUAGGUUUGAUCCCUUUGCAAUCUUAGUAUUAGAUCAAAGUAGAAAUGCACCCCCUAAAAUGUAAAUAUAUUCCUUGAGGUGUUCAUUUACCAGCGUUUUCUCAGACAGUACCUUAACAAUAAAGUAUUUGGCAACUGACCGAGAAGCAGAAUGGGGUCCAAAGAAUACCAUAUAUAGGGUAGGGCUUCAAAAGUGGAACUCCUGCUUCACCCAUAUCACGUCUGAACUUGCACCUGAAACGUUUUCACAGAACCGUGUCAAGAGAUAAAGAGAGAACUUUAAAAAGCAGGAAGGUAUAAACACAGUCAGGUGGGCAACACUAAGAAACGGCUGUAAGAUUCCCUUAAACUGUCUAUGUAUUAUGAGAUUCCACACGUUAAUACUAAGAAAACUCCAAGGUUCCCCUAACAGUGAGCACUCUAAGCCUAUUCUAUAUCAUUGUUCUGAGGAAAGAAAUCACUCAACAAUUAACAUAUGCUUCUGGCUUUCUCAUUGCUGUAUGAUCAGUCAUGUGUUUAGUAAAUAAAUAUCUGCUACUGUCGUCCUUACACACCCUGAUUUUAUCCACCUUUGGUGGUAUUUAGAACAUGUCCCUAUCUUGCUGCAGGCUCACACUGUUAAGCUGAGAGAUUACUCUGUCAUUCUGUGGAUCCUGAGAACCCAAGUCUUGACUCGUGGAGUUGGUCAUGUACGGAAAAGAUGUAUAUUUUAAAAUAUAGAAACAAGAAAAAAGAGGAAGAAGAAGAGGAAGGAAAAUUAAGAGUUGAAGAGCCCUCUCUACCUUGUGCCUGAUGGCCCAAACCCUCUACUCCCAGCCAUUUUGCUAACCUUUGCACCUGUGAAUGGCUAUACAUAGGAAAUGACAGACAGCAACAGCAUCAUUGCAGCAUUUGUGCACACCCUCCUUUCCUCCAGAGCACUAGAAGUUUAUGAGCACAGAGCAAGGCAGACUGAGCCAUAACUUACAUGCAGACUUUAGAGAAAGCUGAAAUGUUGAUAGAGACUAGAUCUCAGCACUAGUCUGAGGCAAGCACUGGGAGUCGGGGACUAGGAGGACCAUGAUGCACCAGAGCAGAGCCCAGGGAAUGGAAGAAAACACAGGGCUUGAGAUCACUUCAGGAGGAGCCCAGCUCUUCAGGGGCAGAGGAGACUUCAAGAGCCCACACUGCUCUACUGGGAAAGUGGUUUUUGCCUGUGAAGAGGCAUAAAGGGACAACACCCUCUUAGAACAAUAGUUGUCUAGGAAACAGCACAACUAAACACCAUAUAGCAUUCUAUCACAACCGCAUCUACGGAGUUUCAGCUGGUUGGAACCAUGACUUUGAGUGACCCCUGUUUGCCAAAACCUCAAGUCUAACUGAAACUUGUUUCCCAGUCAAUGACCCGUAAUACCUGUUUUGACUAACAUACAGCCCUGUGGAUGCCUCUCUUCCUAUGCACAGUGCUAGAGUUUUGUUUUAUUUUGCUUUGCUUUGGUUUGUCUUGAGGUACUAGGAUGGAACCCAGGGUCUGGUCUCAGUGAGCACUCCAUCAUCGAAUUGUAUCUCCAGCCCUCUCCAUGUUUUUAAAUCCUUAAUUUGUGACAGUUAAGUUUUGGCUCUUGUUCAACAAAAACCUUAACUUUUUUUUCAAGUGCUGAGGCUCCUCCAUGUAUAGUCAAAGGUAAGGGAUAAUUUCACGUCAUUCCUUUAGGAGCUAAAGGUCACUCUGGCCCCAGAAAGACUUAUAAAACCAACAAACUUCUGGAGAGAUAAGCUAGCACUUCCUAGUGUCAAGUGGCGAGGGAGGACAACUUCAAGGACA
rnacentral:sRNA from 1 species